GACGGGGGCCCGCACAAGCGGUGGAGCAUGUGGUUUAAUUCGAUGCAACGCGAAGAACCUUACCUGGUCUUGACAUCCACAGAACUUUCCAGAGAUGGAUUGGUGCCUUCGGGAACUGUGAGACAGGUGCUGCAUGGCUGUCGUCAGCUCGUGUUGUGAAAUGUUGGGUUAAGUCCCGCAACGAGCGCAACCGUUAUCUUUUGUAACCAGCGGUCCGGCCGGGAACUCAAAGGAGACUGCCAGUGAUAAACUGGAGGAAGGUGGGGAUGACGUCAAGUCAUCAUGGCCCUUACGACCAGGGCUACACACGUGCUACAAUGGCGCAUACAAAGAGAAGCGACCUCGCGAGAGCAAGCGGACCUCAUAAAGUGCGUCGUAGUCCGGAUUGGAGUCUGCAACUCGACUCCAUGAAGUCGGAAUCGCUAGUAAUCGUGGAUCAGAAUGCCACGGUGAAUACGUUCCCGGGCCUUGUACACACCGCCCGUCACACCAUGGGAGUGGGUUGCAAAAGAAGUAGGUAGCUUAACCUUCGGGAGGGCGCUUACCACUUUGUGAUUCAUGACUGGGGUGAAGUCGUAACAAGGUAACC
rnacentral:rRNA from 1 species